UCAGUGGUGAUGAGAAGCGCAGGGGUACAGACCUCGGCUGUAUCAUGGGAGCCGACUAUAAAUGCUUGUUCUCCAUUUUAGCUUACAUGUGGUGGGUUGAUGGAGACAUUUAUAGGAGAUGACUGACUUUUCUGAGCUGA
rnacentral:snoRNA from 1 species